AAAAAGUGAAAUUAAUUAUAAUAAUGUACUUUAUUUAAUCCAUUAUAUCCAAAACAUUAACAUGUAAUAAAUAUAAAAACUUACUAAUAUUUUUCUUCAUUUUGGGGGUAAUUAUCAAAAUCUGAUGGGUAUAAUACACUCAUAGUACAUUCAAUAUGUACAUAGAAAACAGAAUUUAUUCUUAUCAGUAAUACUUGAUAUGUUUUGAGUUUCAUUAAAUGUUUAGCUGAAAAAGUGGAUUUCCAUAGCAAGGUUGUUCCACUUACACAUGAAAGUUUUCUAAAUUAAAAAUCUGGUUUUUUAAAGUCACUCAACCAUGUCCAACUCUUUGUGUCUCCAUGGACUGUACCCCUCAGGCUCUUAGGUCAAUGGAAUUCUCCAGGGAAGAAUACUGGAGCGAGUAGCCACUCCCUUCUCUAGGCGACCUUCCCCACCCAGGGAUCGAACCCUGGUCUCUAGCAUUGCAGGCAGAUUCUUCAGUCUGAGCCACCAGGGACUUAGUAGCCACAUUUCAAGUGCUCAACAGCUACUGUACUGGCCAGCACAGGUCUCAGAACUUUAUGAAGAGCUACAUAUCAUAUAAUUCCCCAUUGUAUUUAUGCAUGUACCCUCUCUAUCUCCACACACACUCAAAAUAAAAACAUUGGUGAAGUUCUCAUAAAAAGAUUUCACAACAGGAAGCGAUAUGUCAAGAAUUUCAGCUCAGGAACAAACUCACAAAAUACUGCCCUUUUACUGUCUUUGAAAAACAAUCAUACUGCCUUUAAAAAAUAAGAGAGGAUUCUGGGAGGAUGGCAGAGCAGGAAACACUAGGAAUCUCUCCCCACUUAAGACUACAACUGGCAGAAUUCCUCUGACAUAUCUAUCUUAAAAUUCUGAAAUUGACUGAAGGUUUAAAACUUCCGGAGGAAGGCUUGGAAGGUAAACUAUGGUUAUUUUUGGUCAGUCUCAGCUCUUAGCACAGGACAAUCCAUCUCCAAGGCAGGCAGCUGUGCAUAUGUUCCUGAUGCAGUCUGCGUACAUCCAGGAUGGGUAAAAAGGACUGUCCUCCAGAUACUGGGAAGUCAUAUUCUAACUGGUGAUAGCUGCUAGGCGGGCCAUUGUUGUUGCACUUCCACCCAUUGUUGUAAGCCUCCUCUCCUAUGGCUGAAGGGACCUUGUAAGGGAUUUAAAGUGUCAGUGCCCUUUUCUCCCUCCCUUUCAUUUUUCUCUUUCUCCCAUUUUGGCAGCCAGACAUCAAAAGACUAGGACAUUCAAAACCAAAUAUAUAUAUGGGAAAAAUUAGAAAGUGUACAGGCUCAAAAAAGAACUGAGAAGACCUUAAAUUU
ensembl:lncRNA